rnacentral:rRNA from 1 species
ACGAACGCUGGCGGCGUGCCUAAUACAUGCAAGUCGAACGGUCUUUCUAUGAAGCUUGCUUCACUGGGAAGAUAGUGGCGGACGGGUGAGUAACACGUGGGUAACCUGCCCAUAAGAGGGGGAUAACAUCCGGAAACGGGUGCUAAUACCGCAUAGUUUUCUUGAUCGCAUGAUUGAGAAAGGAAAGACGGCCUUUGUGCUGUCGCUUAUGGAUGGACCCGCGGCGUAUUAGUUAGUUGGUGAGGUAACGGCUCACCAAGACGAUGAUACGUAGCCGACCUGAGAGGGUGAUCGGCCACAUUGGGACUGAGACACGGCCCAAACUCCUACGGGAGGCAGCAGUAGGGAAUCUUCCGCAAUGGACGAAAGUCUGACGGAGCAACGCCGCGUGAGUGAAAGAAGGUUUUCGGAUCGUAAAACUCUGUUGUCAGAGAAGAACAAGUCGGAGAGUAACUGCUCCGGCCUUGACGGUAUCUGACCAGAAAGCCACGGCUAACUACGUGCCAGCCGCGGC